UGUGCCCGGCAUGGACUUGGUGCUCACCACGCGGUACUUGCCGCUGGGGUUCCACACCUGGAUGGAGACGGGCUUCGCCAUGGCUGCACCUGCAGAGAGGUUCUCUCUCUCUCUCUCUCUCUCUCUCUCUCUCUCUCUCUCUCUCUCUCUCUCUCUCUCUCUCUCUCUCUCUCUCUCUCUCUCUCUCUCUCUCUCUCUCUCUCUCUCUCUCUCUCUCUCUCUCUCUCUCUCUCUCUCUCUCUCUCUCUCUCUCGCCGGCCUUAUCAGGGGGCGGGCAGACAGGCGCCAGAAAUUUCAUUUUCGUUUUCUCCUCCUUUUAAGAUAGGAAGGGUGGUGGAUAACAGACAAGUGGCCGGCCUUAUCAGCAUUUCCCUUAUCUCCUUGACAACCACGAGUAGACCGUUGGCACAACAACCAGCCAUGGAGGCAAAUCAUCAUAAGAUCCACUUUUAUAUAUGUAUUAUGAGAUAUUAACUAGUAACAAGUCCAGACAGACGAACUAGCACCCACCAGCUUGACAUACAUCCAAUCCAAAAAAGGAUACAACCAUCACGACCAUUAUACUACUAUUUCACUACUAUUUCGUAAGUAGAUAGACUAGCAUUGUAGAGUGCAGUGCAGACAUCCAUCUGUUCUUGUAAAAGAACCACCACCAUCACCAGGGAAAGGAAGACAACAAUCACUCGAAGGCCCACUGGUUCUCCAUGCGGAUCUCAUCCUCCUCCUCUUGGGUGAAGUCGUUCUUGAUGCUGAAUGUCUUGCGGAUCUCCUCCGGAGUCUUGCCCUUGAUCAUGUCAGCAACCGUCUGGCAGGUCAGGUCCAGCAAUCCCUUGAUGUUCAGAUAGUUGGCAGCCUGAAAAUACAGUUCCAUUAUGUCAACCAGCAAUGGCAGAAAAUAACACAAAUCACGUCCAAUUACAUGUGGAUUGAAGUGUAUUGGAAUGAAUUUGGAUGGAUUUAAACCGACUCAAUACCACCCAAUCCACGUGGCGGUCAAACGAACAAUCCCCAAAGUGUGCAAAAGUCGCAAGUACAAGCCAAAUUCUGUCUGACUAGCUAGUUAAAUUAUCUCACUGCAAACCAAAUAUCAUCCCCGCCUGUAGCUAGCUUGAUACGGGUGCAUUGUUGUUACGAAUAAUAGCAACAGCAUGAUUUAUCAACAGUGUUCCUAGCCACAUCACAGUUUUUGUGGUUGAUUGAUUCCAGAGCAGCAGGGGCUAGUACAACAUCUCUUAUGAGAUAAAAAAAAUUGAUUGGUUACGGACCUCCACCACGACGCACAACCAAUCAAUCAAUAUAUACUGAUCUAAUCCGAACCCUAGAAAGACAGUAGCAGAUCUAAUCUAACCUAUACAUAGACAGGAAUCGCAAAAGAAGCAAGGGGAGGGGAGGUUACCGACCAGGAUGAGGUCGAAGAGCGUAGCCUGGUCCACCUUGACGAACUUCGCGUCCCAGCUCUUGAGGUCCUCGCCGCCCUCGGAGGCAGCGGAGUCAGCGGGUUUGGCGGCGGCGUGGACGUGACUGUUGCAGUACUCGAUGACCUUAGAGAGGAUCCUGGAGUUGACGUUGGGGAGCGGGAUGCCGUUGUCGGCGCAGUCGUCCUCGAUCAUGUGGCGGAGAGUCUGCGACUCCAUGGCCACCGCUUCCUCCACCUCGAACUCCUCUAAGUCGGAGCUCCUGAGCGUGAUCAUCCUCUUGUUUUCGCCCUCGGACGCCAUCGAUGGAUCGACGAGAGAUGAGGCGACGAAACCCUAGCUAGUUGCAGCGAUUUGAUCUGUGAUGGUCGAUUGCGAGGGAAACGCCUCUCCUGACUACUUUUCCUUCGAUUCGCCUGCCCUGCCCUCUUUAGUUUGGCCUCAUAAGUUAUUUAUGAAAGGUAGCCGGCAAUGAACAGAUUUAGAGGUGUUUGAAUGCACUAGAGCUAAUAGUUAGUCGCUAAAAUUAGUUAAGACAUCCAAACACUCUAGCUAAUAGUUUAGCUAUUAGCUAUUUUUGAUAAAUUAAUUAAUAGUUAGAUAGUUAUUUGUUAGCUAUCUAAUUCUACUAACAAUUUUUAGUCAACUAACUAUUAGUUCUAGUACAUUCAAACACUCCAAAUCUAAAAUAAAUUAUAUUUUAAGAUGGUGUGAGUAUUAUAUUAAUUAUCUUAUAUAAUAAUAAUUAUAAUAACCAAAUUAUCCUGCACCUAUGAUUAUAUAUAUAGUUAUUAUUAUUCAUUAUAAUUUGUUUUUUAGAAUAAUAUUUAUUUUAGGAUAUUAGUAUAUGCAUUCUAGAUUCAUUGUUAUCCAUUUAAAUAUGGACAUAAAAAUAAAAGCUAGAACGGACUAAGUAUAUUUUAUCGUGGUGUAGGAAUCCUCAGUAAUAACACUUAGACAGUCAGUAGUUUACUCAUAGUUUAAUUAAAACAUUAUUUAUAGAUUACACUAUUCGUAGAGUUUAAUAGUAGAGUUUAAAUGUAGAGUAGAGUUUAAUAGUUUACUUAAAACACUAUUUAUAUACUUUUCUGCACUAUAAACUACACUAUUGUAGAGUUAAAUAUAAGUAGGAUGGGUAAGCUACUAAAGAUAGUCUUGGGUACAAACAAUUCUCAUGCUGCCGAUUCUUGCACUUUAUUUUUUUCUGUUUAUAGGGCCAAAUUUUGUUAUUCUCUCCAUAAGAAAAAACUGUGGCCAUGACCAGAUGAGCUAUCCGCGACUAGUAGUAUAUAGCAUACACUCCCUUUUGUGUAUCCUGCUACUGCCAGUGCUCAAAGAAAAAAAACAAAUGGUACACCGGGACACAUUUAUUAAUGGUCAGUCAUCACAGAUGUAGAUGUUCUUGUUACAGAUAACAAUUCUGGAACAAAAAAUCCCUUUUAUUUACAUGUACUGAAACAAACGGGGGUUCUUGUUGGCGCACAUCCUCACUCAAGGCGCACAUCCUCAAUUACUAUAGCUUAGCCUGCCCAAUGGAAACAGAUCAUGGUAGAGAAACCAAAAUCUGUUAAACUUCCUCGAUGACAAAAGCUGUAGAUUCAUAAUUGCAGGUGACAAGGGCAACCCUCGAAGAGAAUACAGUAGCUGAACAAAUGUAAAAGAAGGGAGAAAUCGACAGCAGCACCUGCAUCCGAGUGAGGACUGGGGCUCUCGCCCUUGAAGCCGUUUGCUGAGUGAGCUGGUAACCUCAACUCAGUGUUAUACAUGGACCAAGAAACUAAAUCUCCAGAAUAAAACUGACCCCUGUAUGUUAGUUCGGAUAUUGUAUAUUUCUUAUGAAAGAUCAAAUGAUCCUCGGCCUUCCAGGAUCGCAUAAAGCAACUUCUUGCGCAUGAUUUCCUGUCCAAACAAUAGCAACAGCCCGUCAGCAGGAACCAUCAGAAUGUCAAGCUGACUUUUUAGUGAUAAAACAGCAAGGACACUGUACUUUUGUGGAGUAGGGGGGCAGCUUCAGAUAAUUGGCGCACGUCAUCACACUAGGCAAAUCAUCAUCAGCGGACUCUACUGCCCCAGUUGAAUUUGAAGUAUUCACAGCACUUGAAGGAUGCUGGCAAUAAUCAAAACACCGAGUUACCCCAAAAAUAACAUCAAGCAGAAUAGGUGUGCACAUGUCAUUAUAGCAAAUGCCACGAUAGAUAGACCAUGAAAAGGUACCUUCCUAACUAUAGUAAGCUUGGGGCUAAGGGCAGCCAAUCCACCAUGUGGAAGCCGAGGAGCACCGGUUACAAACUGGCAGAACGCAUGCUGCUGCUCAGGGGUGAAUUCUGACAAAAUCUCGAGUAGCUACAAACAAGAGCAAGAAUCAAGGAACCACACUUCUCAAAAACCACAACUGGAUGUAUGUAAGAGAUGUAGCAUGUGAGGACGAAUGAGCUUACAUUCACGAUCGCAGGACUUUUAGCAGUAUAUCCAUGAUCAAAUUUUAUGUUAUCCACCAGGGAUUCCGACUGCAGAUUCCAAGGUUUAUUUAGUGCCACACUUUUACAUACAUUAACUUGGAUAAAAAGGACAGAACAUUACCUCCCAAAUUUCUUGUCGACCACAUAUUAGAUAGUCAAGUUCUUGAGGUGAAAAUAUGUGGAGGGAUGACAUGUCAAACACCUACGAAACAUUAAAAUAAACAAGAACUAUUAGAGUAAACUGAACUACACAAAAUCAGAACAAGUAGAAUUAUUAUAAGAUUGUGUUAGAGCAAUGCCAAUGAGGCUGUACCUGAUUAAACCCUGAUCUAAAUGCCUCAACCUGUCGCUUUAUCCCUGACUUAACUGUAGCAUCCACCACCAAAGUAAUAUACUCUUCUAAAUUAUAAAUAUUAACCUGCAGAUGAUACUAACAGAUUAAAACAUACAAAGUGAAAUCACCAAGAUAAAUACACGCUAAUAUGGAACUUCAUCACUUACAAUUGUGCCUCCUUCACCCUCUUUAAGCACAUAAUCAGGAUAACCUGGAAGAGUAAAAUCUAAACACAAAUCUUCAAUAGAAGCGCCAUGGAAACACAAAUCUGCAACUUGUAGCUGGUUCUUGCCAGAAGUGGAUUCAAGGAACUGCUUUCGUUCAACAAGAACUUGCAGUUCUUGCAAUGUCUUCCCAAACUCAGAAUCAAAUGACACUAUGUCAAACAAAUCAAGUUCCUGGCCAAUUGCAACACAUUAAGUCGUGAAAAGUGAAUACAAACAACUAAUUAAUACAUAAAACAAAGCAAAACAAAAUGAAAGCAAAGCACUUGGAAAUAGAGCUUCUCUGUACAUACCUGUCCAAGUAUAAGCUUAUAAAACGCUGUUGAUAAAGGCAAAUCUAAAAGUCUGCCAUCUUGCAGGACUUUUGCGAUCACUUGACCUAUUAAGCGGAAAUACUCCAAAACUUUGAAGAAUCUGCUACCUUCUGAAGUAUCAACUUUAGGUGGCCAAGGUCGAGGGAACAAUCCAAGAGGAGCUUGUAUCAAAUACAUGCCAUCACCUGGUAGAUCUGUGUUGAGUUCUUUUCCUGACGACCCAUCUUCAGGAUCUAAACGGAUCACAUCCUUCAUAUCAGUGUGCAAUCCUGAAUCAUAUGAAGAAGUAGCUCUCCAUAAUCCCAGUUGAGCACAUUGUAGUUCAUGGCUUAAGAGAGUAUAAAACUCUAGAGUAGGCCCCAGCCCAGUUCCAACUUCGCCAAAGUAUUCCACCUCAAGAACAGCCCUCUGACUGGAGAACAUCUCCAUAACUUUAGCAGCAGAAUCUAGAAUACGGUUACGGGAAACACGAACUUUCUGGCGUUGUAACCUGCCAAACCUGACCUCUCUUUCACCACCAGAGCUGUGAUUAUCACUCUGCUGUUGCUGGAGUCGAUUCAAUGCUCGUGACAACCCAAAGGCUGUGGAAUAGAAGUACUGCCUCCUUGUCUCAAAAGGAAACAGGAAUGGGCAGGCCUUGGUCAUUUGAUAACACCAAGAAGGUAAACUGCCACUACAUAGUGCGAGAACGUCCUGCAUUUGCCGAGCAAGCUUUGGUGUUAACUUGCUAUUGACAAACACUUCAGAAGGUACCUUGGCUCCAGUUCUAUAUAACUCAUCCAGGGUAUUGAUUUUUCCCUCAGCAAAAUCAUCAGAUGCUCCCUGUACUCUUAAACGAGGGGAUAACUGAUUAAGCCCCUCAAGUAUACGCAAUAAUGCUAAAAUGUUGUACGUUGAGUUUGUCCUCUCAAGAUCACAAGGAAGUUCUCCUUGUAAGAUGCUAUCAAGAAGAGAAACCCCUUGUGCUUCAGAAAUGGACCUGUAAGAAUCUGAUUUUAUGUUUAAUGAGGUGGAAGUCCCUUGGCAACCCUUCUCAACUUGGUUAUCAGCCUUCUGGUACGUUAUUGUGAACACAUCACCCCAGAAGCGGUUUCCAUCAUUUGGUAUAUCAGAUCCAUUAAACCUUUCUUCAUCAUCCUCGUCGAGCAUAAGUUGACGUUGGAUAGCUUGAUAUACAGUCAAAUGUUUGUUAAGCUGCUUGCCACCAGCAGUGAAUAUAAGUUUAUUGUGAUCAUUCAUGCUACCUCCAAGUGACAGACCACGCCGAUCUCGGACACCUCUAACACUGCGACCACCAACAGAAGCCAGACCAGCCAUCGUCGCAGCAACAAAUGACAUUGCACCUCGUGAACCGAAUGUGCCCAUACUUCGAAAUUCAGUAGAAUCCGGUCCCCUGCUAGAAGUGUUUCUAGCCCCAGAACCAGAUGAUGGCUGUGCAUGGCUAAAAGUAGCUGAUCCAAUGUUAGAUUCAUCGGCAUCACCCAGUUUCACGUCAUGCACACCAUCUUGAGAACAGAUUGGAAGAGACCCUUCUUGGAGAACCUAAGAAUUUGGAGAGGUUAUUAAAUUAGUCAAGUAAGGGCACAAAUGAUCAUCUUGGACCAACUAAAAGGUUAUUUUUGUCAUAAAGUAAAUAAAUAUAAGCAUGGUACUAAAUAGCGUUAGUAGCAACCGCUAUGGCGUCCGCAAAAAACGGUAGCGGUCUCUUACCGCUACCACUAUUUGAGGUUGGAACUUAGCGGCUGCUAUUUGAGGUAGCAGGCUGUUAUAGUGCUCCGCACUUCUUCAUAGUGUCCACAAUAGUGUUGUAUGAUAUACAACAAAUAACCCUAUCCCAUUUUAACUAUCAUGAAACUAUUGAGGUUACUACUUCUGACAUGACAAUGAAACAUGAUUUUAUGACUAUUUUACGGCUAUCAAAAUAUAUUUCUUUGUAGACUCCAGUCCAAUGUGUGAUGACUUAUAUGUAAUAUGUUGAAUAUCAUGUUCCUUUAUUUAAUUUAAAGUAUGUGAGAGUGAGACAUCGAUUUCCACAUGCCUCAACCUUAAUUUGUGGCUUCCGAUGGGUUUCAACUCUAGCCUACCCCAACUUGCUUGGGGCUAAAAGGCUUUGUUGAUAAUAAUGAUGUGAGACAUCACUUAUCUAAGUAUAAUUAAUUAAACGUCUAUUAAAUUAAUAUUAAUGAUAUAUAUAUACAUAAAUUUAUGUUUGAUUAUUAUAUACUGCUAUUGGAACUUAGCGGUCCGUAAUAGCACCUGACAUCCGCAACAUCAAACUGCUAUGAACCCAUGCUAUUUAGUACCUUGAAUAUGAACCUAAGCAACUACGGAUGGUUGCAACGAAGCAAAAAAAAGAGUGGGCAUUCAAUUUUCAAACAGUUACCUCAUGAUCAUCGUCGUCAUCAUCAUCAUCAUCUGAAAUGUCAUCAUCAUCAAUCAUCAAAGCAUCAUCGAUCUCAACAGGAGAUGUGUCGAGCUCUUCAUCCUACAUAUACCAACAUAGAAUGUAUUUACUUAUCAGUUACCAUGCUUACACUCUCAACUAGAAAAUGAGCCUACUUCUUGAUCAUUAUCCUAAUAUUUUUUAGAUUGGCACAGUUUUGAACUCACAAAAUCAUGUUUACAUAUUAUGAGGGUAAUAUAAAUUAAGAACUAGAUCCGCGGCUAAAAUUAUCAUGUUCAUUUGGCGCCCAAGCCAUGAGCUUUAUAGGUGGCACCAAAUAUGACACCAGAGAAGUGGAUGUGUGUUAUGGACGCUAAAUCGGUGAGGGAUUAGAGAGGGGUAUCGACGGGCAGGAACGUCGGCCGAGGGCCUCUGCCCACGGCCGAGCAAGAGGAGGGUUUCUCCCUUCUAAUUCUUGCCUAAUUUAUUUCUUAUCCAUUGAUUACAUAAAUAGACCGGGUGGCCGCCCUUGUCUAGCUUGAGACCUUUAUCUCCUUAAAACUCUCCUAAAAACUCUCAACAAACUAACUGAUAACCUUCCUAGAUAAUCUCAACUAAUCUCCUAAAUAAUCUCAACUAAUCUUCUAAUCUUAUCUCUAACUAUCAUUAUCUAAUCCCCCUUGGAGGGCCCAUGGCUGCUGCUGCCGCAGCCCCUCCGUGGGCCUCCUUAGGCCCUGACAAUGCGACUUUUGAGAAGAGCUGCUACCCAACUUGAAUAGAAACAGUAACUUUUCUUUGCAAGCCAAACUAACCAGGAAUGAGGCAUGUAAACAAAAAAAAUACCUCAGAGCUACUGUGGCCAUGUGCCUGCUUCAUUUCCAAAUCUUUCUCUGAAGCAGAUUUUUGGUGGGCAGCAUUCCUUGUAUUAGGUCCUUUUGAUUCAUCUGAGUUUGGCUUUACAAUAGCUUUUCCUUUUCCUUUGGCAGUACUAGUGCUUUCAUCAUGAGAAUCCUUCUUAGAUGUAAGACCACCUGCAGCAGAUGACUUUGAUCUUGUUGUUGGGCGCCGACCAGAUUGAGCCAUUGCAGCUGUUAAUGAUGCACCAGCCGUGGUGCCAGGAACCCCAGAUUCAGAAUUAUUACCAGAUGGAAUUAUAGGCUUCGAUGCAACCUCACUGCGUUGAACUCUAGGCCAAAGGAAUUCUUCAACAGAUGCAAGACUAGCAAAUGGGUCGAUAAGCACAAUAUUUGAUGAAUAAUCCCGAAGUGAUUUUUCGCCUUGAGCUCGGGAAAGACGAAGCUUGAAGGGUUGAGCCAGAGCACUAAGACCUGAAGUCAGACGAGACCCUCCAAUACCAAUCCUACUAGACUGGCUGAGCACAACAGGGAAACGUUCCAGCGAAGACAAUGCACUUUGCAGUUUCUGAACCAACAGUGCCAUGGGAGUUUCAUCUCGUCCAUGAUCAAUAGAAAGGGCAACAGAUAUGAAGGUUUUGUAUCGUCUAAGGGCCUGCUGACGAAGCUGAGAUAGGUUUCCUUCAGAUACCUUUUCCUUCCCAAAUGUCCCACAGGACAAAUAGUCAAGCAAUGCUAUGACAACACCACUUCUAAUGAAUUCAAAUGUGGAAACACCAUUAACUUUGCUAAGCUCAGAGAGCAUUUCAGAUAUUAUUUUGUCUAAUUGUUCUUCAACAUCAAUUGAGAUGUCCAAAAAAUUAGUGCUUAUAGCUUUUGAUUUCCCUUUUGCUUUUGUUUUGACGUUCUCAGAGACAGUAUUCAACUUUGCACAGAGUGCCCUCAGUUUAAGAAGGUCAUCAGUAAACCCGAUAUCACUUGAAUCAGUAUCCGCCGGAAAGUAUUUAUCUUUGAAAGACUUUGCAUGGUCACUAACUGUGAAACGAAGGCUGGUGUUUGGAGCUUCUGAAGCGGUUGCUGUUGAGCACAUAACACCAAGGUUGGAACUAUUUGAUUCAUCCAAUGAACUAUUUUCUGCUGCAACAGCACCCGCACGCCGGCGUUGACGUCUAGAACGUGAUGGCAUGGCAGAAUCUUUAUCUUUAUCCUGAGGUGGCACCUGAGAAGGCAUUUUGUUGGAAGAUUCUGAACAUAUGAGUGACUCCACAGCAUGAACGACACCUUCCCUCACAAAUAACUUGGAAAAUGUCUCUGGAAGCUUUUCCAUCAUUAUUUCUGCUAUCUGAAGAGCAGGAAUCAACACUUGAGGAUCUUUCCAUGCAAGAAUGCCCGCAAGGAAGCUGCAGAUAGAAAUGAAAUAACUUAGAAGGGAUUGGAAAAGAAGUAUGUACAUUGAGACUUGAGAGACUUUCUUUUUGUCUUUUAACAUCCAUUGUUCUGAAAUCAUUCUCUAGAAAUGAACUGAGAAUUUUUUCGGUUCUAUUAAUGAAACAUGCAUCUCUUUUGUGUGUUCCAGGUGAGAGAGAGAGAAAACCUGGAUAUGUUUGUUGUGCCAAGGAGAGACUGGAUUGUUUCGGCGGAGCUGUAGUACAUUAAUUUUCCAAUGAUAGAUAAACACUUGUGACGUAUUGGUGCAUUUACACUAGAACCAUACACCUGAACAAGCACACAGGCUAUUAAAGUACACAAAGACAAAACACAAAUAGCAAUUGAAAUGGCUGUCAGGACUCAGGAAAAGAAUUCCAGCACUAACCUGUGUCAUUGUGGGUAACAAAUCCAUACCAAACUGUUGUAAAAGCUCAGGUUGCUCACGCAAUAGCCUCUCACGGCCAGACCUUUCAUUUCCUGUUGAACCACCCCCCUCUUGUUUGAUGGAAGCAGAUUUCUUUGUUGAAGAGCCUUUAUAUGUAUGGUAAUAUGUUGGUAACUUAAUGAUUCUCGCAGGGAUAUGCGGAAGCAAAUCAUCGGCAAGGCUCACAAUCUCAAACAUCUGCAAUAUUUGGGGUAAACAUAUGAAAAACAUUUGUACAACAAAAAACAUACAGGUGCAUGAAACUGAUGAGUCAAACAGUGUGGGUUUCAAGAAUUAAUGUUUCAGCAGCUAGGUGAGAAGAUACAGCAGCUGUUGCAGACGAUCAUACUCAAAAAAUGCCAGACUCGUGUGUGUAUGUACCACAAAUGAUUUUAGCAAUUAAGCAAGACAGCAACAAGCAGAAGCUGAGAUGGCAUUAUAUAUUCAUACUCAAUUGUAUAGCAUGGAAAAAAAACUCUUCGAUCUGUACCAUACCAAAUGCGAUUGACCAAAAGCACAAUUUACUUGCACCACACUAGGAAGAAAAUAAGACGACAAGAAUCACAGCAGCUACUUAAUCCAAAUGAGAUUUUGCUCUAUCAUAUUACAAGUGAGACUUUUGUUCCCCUGUGUGCCAUAAAUCAACAUUUUCUGCUUCAUUAAAACAUUUCAAAAGACUUACUCAGGCAAUAUAAAAGCACAACGAAAGUAUGCAGGCCUUUGAAAAUACUAGUUCACUGCUCUUUUGAAUGAUUAUUUGCAUGGUUUAAGAAGACGAGCACAAUUCCCGACAUUUUAGCAUCUAUGUUCAAUGCUCAAAAAAAUCACCCAAACAAUUGCUCAAUGGUACAUAUAAUUAUGAACAUGUGAUGUCGCCUUUAGAGUUCUAAAAGUCUGCAUGAUACGUGUGGUAGAUGUAAUUUCAGAAAGUGUGAGAUGCCAAAGCCUAAUUUUUCACUGAUAAAUCGGAAUUUUAUUGAAUCCAAUCACAGAGAGAAAUUGUGGCUAAAUUGAUUUUUUUUUAAAAGGCCAGCACUAGCAGAAUAGUCAAGUCCUAAGUCAGUGAUAGAAAUAUUCACCUGAUCUGCAGGCCUUGUUACAGCAGGGGAGACUGAUGUUCCAGAAAUCAAAGCAGAGCCAGAAAGGAUAUCUUUAAGAGUGCCGCUGAUCCCAAGAAGAAGUAGUGUUUU
rnacentral:lncRNA from 1 species